rnacentral:rRNA from 1 species
UACAUGGGGUGCAAACGUUGCUCGGAAUUAUUGGGCGUAAAGCGCACGUAGGCGGUCCGUUAAGUCGGAUGUGAAAGCCCCCGGCUCAACCGGGGAAGUGCAUCCGAAACUGGCGGGCUAGAGUACGAAAGAGGGUCGCGGAAUUCCCGGUGUAGAGGUGAAAUUCGUAGAUAUCGGGAGGAACACCGGUGGCGAAGGCGGCGACCUGGGCCGAUACUGACGCUGAGGAGCGAAAGCGUGGGGAGCGAACAGG